rnacentral:rRNA from 1 species
CAGUCGCCACGGUAAUACGUAGGGUGCAAGCGUUAAUCGGAAUUACUGGGCGUAAAGCGUGCGCAGGCGGUUAUAUAAGACAGAUGUGAAAUCCCCGGGCUCAACCUGGGAACUGCAUUUGUGACUGUAUAGCUAGAGUACGGCAGAGGGGGAUGGAAUUCCGCGUGUAGCAGUGAAAUGCGUAGAUAUGCGGAGGAACACCGAUGGCGAAGGCAAUCCCCUGGGCCUGUACUGACGCUCAUGCACGAAAGCGUGGGGAGCAAACAGGAUUAGAUACCUGUAGUCCCUGUCUCUUAUACAC